rnacentral:rRNA from 1 species
UUGAUUAUGGCUCAGGACGAACGCUGGCGGCGUGCUUAACACAUGCAAGUGGAGCGAUGAAGCACCUUCGGGUGUGAAUUAGCGGCGAACGGGUGAGGAACACGUGAAGAAUCUGCCUUCAACUCUGGGAUAACUCCGGGAAACCUGUGCUAAUACCGAAUAUUGAAACAUAAGUGGCAUCACUGAGUUUUGAAAGAAUUUCGGUGGAGGAUGACUUCGCGGCCUAUCAGCUAGUUGGUGAGGUAAUGGCUCACCAAGGCAACGACGGGUAGCCGGCCUGAGAGGGCGACCGGCCACACUGGGACUGAGACACGGCCCAGACUCCUACGGGAGGCAGCAGUGGGGAAUAUUGGGCAAUGGAGGAAACUCUGACCCAGCGACGCCGCGUGCGGGAUGAAGGCCUUCGGGUUGUAAACCGCUUUCAGUAGGGAAGAAGCGAAAGUGACGGUACCUACAAAAGAAGCACCGGCUAACUAUGUGCCAGCAGCCGCGGUAAUACAUAGGGUGCAAGCGUUGUCCGGAAUUAUUGGGCGUAAAGAGCUCGUAGGUUGUUUGUUACGUCGGAUGUGAAAACCUGAGGCUCAACCUCAGGCCUGCAUUCGAUACGGGCAAACUAGAGUUUGGUAGGGGAGACUGGAAUUCCUGGUGUAGCGGUGGAAUGCGCAGAUAUCAGGAGGAACACCAAUGGCGAAGGCAGGUCUCUGGGCCAAUACUGACACUGAGGAGCGAAAGUCUGGGGAGCGAACAGGAUUAGAUACCCUGGUAGUCCAGACCGUAAACGGUGGGCACUAGUUGUGGGACCUUCCACGGUUUCUGCGACGCAGCUAACGCAUUAAGUGCCCCGCCUGGGGAGUACGAUCGCAAGAUUAAAACUCAAAGGAAUUGACGG